GACGAACGCUGGCGGCGUGCUUAACACAUGCAAGUCGAACGAUGAACCCGGAGCUUGCUCUGGGGGAUUAGUGGCGAACGGGUGAGUAACACGUGAGUAACCCGCCCUGGACUCUGGGAUAAGCGUUGGAAACGACGUCUAAUACCGGAUAGGACCUUGGAUCGCAUGAUCUGGGGUGGAAAGUUUUUUCGGUCUGGGAUGGACUCGCGGCCUAUCAGCUUGUUGGUGAGGUAAUGGCUCACCAAGGCGUCGACGGGUAGCCGGCCUGAGAGGGUGACCGGCCACACUGGGACUGAGACACGGCCCAGACUCCUACGGGAGGCAGCAGUGGGGAAUAUUGCACAAUGGGCGAAAGCCUGAUGCAGCAACGCCGCGUGCGGGAUGACGGCCUUCGGGUUGUAAACCGCUUUUAGUAGGGAAGAAGGGCUUCGGCUUGACGGUACCUGCAGAAAAAGGACCGGCUAACUACGUG
rnacentral:rRNA from 1 species